GACGAACGCUGGCGGCGUGCCUAACACAUGCAAGUCGAGCGGAGAUGAUGUGAGGAAGUUUUCGGAUGGAAUCACAUUAUUUUAGCGGCGGACGGGUGAGUAACGCGUGAGCGACCAACCUUGCACAGGGGGAUAACGGACCGAAAGGUUCACUAAUACCGCAUGAGACCACGGUGUUGCAUGACACAGGGGUCAAAGGAGCAAUCCGGUGCAAGACGGGCUCGCGUCCGAUUAGGUAGUUGGAGGGGUAACGGCCCACCAAGCCUAUGAUCGGUAGCCGACCUGAGAGGGUGAUCGGCCACAUUGGAACUGAGAUACGGUCCAAACUCCUACGGGAGGCAGCAGUGGGGAAUAUUGGGCAAUGGGGGAAACCCUGACCCAGCAACGCCGCGUGAAGGAAGAAGGUUUUCGGAUUGUAAACUUCUGUCCUUGGUGAAGAGAAGAAGACGGUAGCCAAGGAGGAAGCCCCGGCUAACUACGUGCCAGCAGCCGCGGUAAAGUCUGUACU
rnacentral:rRNA from 1 species